rnacentral:rRNA from 1 species
UGCGAGUGCCCCAAGCGUUAUCCGGAAUUAUUGGGCGUAAAGGGUGUGUAGGUGGUUUCGUUAGUCUUCUGUUAAAGCUCCCGGCUUAACCGGGAAAGUGCAGAGGAAACGGCGAGACUAGAGGAUGUGAGAGGUUUGCGGAACUCAUGGUGUAGGGGUGAAAUCCGUUGAUAUCAUGGGGAACACCAAAAGCGAAGGCAGCAAACUGGCGCAUUCCUGACACUGAAACACGAAAGCGUGGGUAGCGAAUGGG